rnacentral:rRNA from 1 species
AGUUAAAAAGCUCGUAGUUGGAUUUUGGUUAAGAGGGCGCGGUCGGCCGUUUGGUCUGUACUGCGUUGUCUUGACUUCCUGAUGAGGACAUGCUCUUGGUUAACGCUGAGACAUGGAGUCAUCGUGGUUACUUUGAAAAAAUUAGAGUGUUCAAAGCGGGCUUACGCUUGAAUAUAUUAGCAUGGAAUAACACUAUAGGACUCCUGUCCUAUCUCGUUGGUCUCGGGAUGGGAGUAAUGAUUAAGAGGAACAGUUGGGGGCAUUCGUAUUUCAUUGUCAGAGGUGAAAUUCUUGGAUUUAUGAAAGACGAACUUCUGCGAAAGCAUUUGCCAAGGAUGUUUUCAUUAAUCAAGAACGAAAGUUGGGGGCUCGAAGAUGAUUAGAUACCAUCCUAGUCUCAACCAUAAACGAUGCCGACUAGGGAUUGGUGGAUGUUAAUUGAUGACUUCACCAGCACCUUAUGGGAAAUCAAAGUUUUUGGGUUCCGGGGGGAGUAUGGUCGCAAGGCUGAAACUUAAAGGAAUUGACGGAAGGGCACCACCCGGCCUGGAGCCUGCGG